rnacentral:rRNA from 1 species
UCCUACGGGAGGCAGCAGUGGGGAAUCUUGGACAAUGGGCGCAAGCCUGAUCCAGCCAUGCCGCGUGAGUGAAGAAGGCCUUAGGGUCGUAAAGCUCUUUCGCCUGUGAUGAUAAUGACAGUAGCAGGUAAAGAAACCCCGGCUAACUCCGUGCCAGCAGCCGCGGUAAUACGGAGGGGGUUAGCGUUGUUCGGAAUUACUGGGCGUAAAGCGCGCGUAGGCGGAUUGGAAAGUUGGGGGUGAAAUCCCGAGGCUCAACCUCGGAACUGCCUUCAAAACUCCCAGUCUAGAGUUCGAGAGAGGUGAGUGGAAUUCCAAGUGUAGAGGUGAAAUUCGUAGAUAUUUGGAGGAACACCAGUGGCGAAGGCGGCUCACUGGCUCGAUACUGACGCUGAGGUGCGAAAGUGUGGGGAGCAAACAGGAUUAGAUACCCUGGUAGUCCACACCGUAAACGAUGAAUGCCAGUCGUCGGGCAGUAUACUGUUCGGUGACACACCUAACGGAUUAAG